rnacentral:rRNA from 1 species
AUUGAACGCUAGCGGGAUGCCUUACACAUGCAAGUCGAACGGAGUGGCGAAAGGGUGAGUAAUGUAUCGGAACGUGCCCAGUAGCGGGGGAUAACUACGCGAAAGCGUAGCUAAUACCGCAUACUUUUGGAGCGGACGAUAUAGGAUUAGCUAGUUGGUGGGGGAAAGGCGAACCAAGGCGACGAUCCGUAUCUGGUUUGAGAGGCCGACCAGCCACACUGCGCCUGAGACACGGCCCAGACUCCUACGGGAGGCAGCAGUGGGGAAUUUUGGACAAUGGGGGAAACCCUGAUCCAGCCAUCCCGCGUGUGCGAUGAAGGCCUUCGGGUUGUAAAGCACUUUUGGCAGGAAAGCGGUACCUGCAUAGUAAGCACCGGCUAACUACGUGCCAGCAGCCGCGGUAAUUC